rnacentral:rRNA from 1 species
UACGUAGGGGGCAAGCGUUGUCCGGAAUCAUUGGGCGUAAAGAGCGUGUAGGCGGUCCGAUAAGUCGGUUGUGAAAGUCCAGGGCUCAACCCUGGGAUGCCGAUCGAUACUGUCGGACUAGAGUUCGGAAGAGGCGAGUGGAAUUCCCGGUGUAGCGGUGAAAUGCGUAGAUAUCAGGAGGAACACCAAUAGCGAAGGCAGCUCGCUGGGACGUUACUGACACUGAGGCGCGAAAGCGUGGGGAGCGAACAGG